AGUGAACGCUGGCGGUAGGCCUAACACAUGCAAGUCGAACGGCAGCACAGUAAGAGCUUGCUCUUACGGGUGGCGAGUGGCGGACGGGUGAGGAAUACAUCGGACUCUACUUUUUCGUGGGGGAUCACGUAGGGAAACUUACGCUAAUACAGCAUACGAUCUACGGGUGAAAGCAGGGGAUCUUCGGACCUUGCGCGAUUGAAUGAGCCGAUGUCGGAUUAGCUAGUUGGCGGGGUAAAGGCCCACCAAGUCGACGAUCGGUAGCUGGUCUGAGAGGAUGGUCGGCCACAUGGGAGCGGAGACAGGGACCAUGCGCCUACGGGAGGGAGCAGAGGGGAAUGUGAGGCAAUAGGCGCAAGCCUUAUCCAGCGAGACCGCGUGGGAGAAGAAGGCGUUCGGUGUGGGAAGCCCGUUUGUGGGGAAAGAAAAGCAGCAGGUUAAUACGCCGCGGGACUGACGGUACCGAGUGAAUAAGCACCGGCUAACUUCGUG
rnacentral:rRNA from 1 species